GAGGAUUGUUUUUAACCAACUUCCAAAAAAGGAGGAGGUUUAAUAUAUUGACGUGAUAACGUCUUAUAAUUCGCGCGCCUGAAAAACAUGACAGUUCAUGCGGCGUUACCUCGCUGACAGCUCUAAAGGCGUUCCAUUUAAGGCUUGAAUUGUCACGUUCAACUAUCGUCAGUAAACCGACUUUACAGACAACCGAUUUUUUUU